CUGCGGAGGGAUCAUUACCGAGUUUCGCAACUCCCAAACCCCCUGUGAACCGCUACCCAGAACGUUGCCUCGGCGGGCUCGCCCCCGCCGGAGGACGCCCGCAAACUCUUCUCCAGCGGUCCUCGCCGAAAGCCAGGCCCCCCCGGAAGGGCGGGCGGGCAGAGGCGCAGGGCCCCCUCCCUCUGAGUGUAGCACACAUCUCCCCGGCGCCUCGCCGGGAAAAUGAAUCAAAACUUUCAACAACGGAUCUCUUGGCUCUGGCAUCGAUGAAGAACGCAGCGAAAUGCGAUAAGUAAUGUGAAUUGCAGAAUUCAGUGAAUCAUCGAAUCUUUGAACGCACAUUGCGCCCGCCAGCACUCUGGCGGGCAUGCCUGUUCGAGCGUCAUUUCACCCCUCAGGCGCCAGGAGGCGCCUGGAGUUGGGGACCGGCCGCGCCAGCACGCGCGCGCCGCCCCCGAAACGCAUCGGCGGCCUCGCCCGCGUCCCUCCCCCUGCGCAGUAGCGACGCUCGCACCGGGAGCGCGGCGGCGGCCACUGCCGUGAAACCCCAGGGGCCACAGCGCGUGGCCCCCCCUUAGAGUUGACCUCGAAUCAGGUAGGACUACCCGCUGAACUUAAGCAUAUCAAU
rnacentral:rRNA from 1 species